CCUACGGGAGGCAGCAGUGGGGAAUAUUGGACAAUGGGGGGAACCCUGAUCCAGCCAUGCCGCGUGUGUGAAGAAGGCCCUCGGGUUGUAAAGCACUUUCAGUGAGGAAGAACGCCUGGUGGUUAAUACCCAUCAGGAAAGACAUCACUCACAGAAGAAGCACCGGCUAACUCCGUGCCAGCAGCCGCGGUAAUACGGAGGGUGCGAGCGUUAAUCGGAAUUACUGGGCGUAAAGCGCGCGUAGGUGGCUUGAUAAGCCGGUUGUGAAAGCCCCGGGCUCAACCUGGGAACGGCAUCCGGAACUGUCAAGCUAGAGUGCAGGAGAGGAAGGUGGAAUUCCCGGUGUAGCGGUGAAAUGCGUAGAGAUCGGGAGGAAUACCAGUGGCGAAGGCGGCCUUCUGGACUGACACUGACACUGAGGUGCGAAAGCGUGGGUAGCAAACAGGAUUAGAUACCCUUGUAGUC
rnacentral:rRNA from 1 species